AAACUCCACACAUCUGAAGUGAAACGUGUUGCUGCCUCUGUUUGUCCAGCAGUGUUUCACAGUGGUUUAAGAACAGCCAAGAGGUGCUGUUAAUUCAUGAGACUGUCACAUUAAGAUAAGAGGAAGCGAGUCUCACUGAUUUUCCUCGGGACACAUCUAUUAUGACAGAGGCUAUGUCAUACUAACAUGGUGUUUUGGAGAUUUACCCUAUAAUAAAUUGUAACCCCAAAGACUUAAAAUAAAAUAAAAAUGCUCUGUCUUUUUAGUAGUUAAGUUUUUAAUCUGUUUUGAAAGGAUUGACAUCUAAUUUUGUAACAAAACUUUUCAGAUAUAUGUGCAAUCUGUUCAGCAUCCAAGUGCACUUAUGGAGUAUUAUUCAUUAUUCAUUAAUGUCUCUUUCUAACCUCAAAUUAUUCUUUCAAUUCAACAUUUGUUUUUCUUGUACACAUAUACUCUAUUCACUAAAGAGCAAAAUGUAACUCAAAUUUAAAUUAAAAUGUGGCUUUCUGAAUUCAUACUUCCAUAUAGGCUGAAUCUAUAUCUGCAAAGCAGUGUCUGAAUGCUGUAUGCAAAACUGAAUUUCACAGUUGGUUUAUGAUGGCUUAACACUCCCUCAGAUUGCAUUGAUCUCUUAACAUCUUACUAAUACAUUUGCCAUGCUUCGUACAGAGGAUGUUGUGGUUGCUGCAUAUCCUUUAUCAGUUUUACUGCCACCCUUCUCCCCUGAGCAGAGGAGGGCAGUAGUUGUAUGGUGAUCCCAACAGUUUUUCUAAUGAUAUUAAAGACUCAUGUUUUGAUUGUA